rnacentral:rRNA from 1 species
GAUCAUGGCUCAGGAUGAACGCUGGCGGCGUGCAUAACACAUUCAAGUCGAACGGACGACCCGGAGCUUGCUCCGGGAAGUUAGUGGCGGACGGGUGAGUAACGCGUGAGCAACCUGCCUGUGUGAGCGGAAUAACGUCCGGAAACAGACGCUAAUACCGCAUGACUCACGGACUUCGCAUGGAGACCGUGGCAAAGAUUUAUCGCACACAGAUGGGCUCGCGUCCGAUUAGG